rnacentral:lncRNA from 1 species
GUAGACGUUGCCAAAGUUUCUCGUGGGUCAGAGCAAGGCAAGUGACACCAUUCUUUGAUCAUAUUGAACCUAUGUUUAUAAAAAUUGCCCCGCUUUACAUUCAAACAUGCAUUACUUUAUGCAAACUUACUUUACUUUAUUUAUUUACUUAUUGGGCAUUACCUUUAGUUAUAUCCGUUAAUUACCAUUUAUUCUUAUUGUUACCCUAGGGUUAAUUUGACUAGAAAUAAGCUUAGGCAAUGCUUAGCCAUGCUUAGUUCAACUAGCUCACAUGUGAUCAUUUAAUUACUACUAGACUUGAUAGAUAUUUAAUGGUUGUGGUCAUGAUUAAUCUCCUGAUGUAGAUUAAAUACAACUAAAACAUUGCUCAUGGUUUUGAGAGUCGUAUCCGUGGCAAUUAAGGACCGGUUCUUUGAAACCCUAGAAGUCUUACACGUACUAACCACAUGCCGAAAUGGGUAAGGUGGGAUUUGAACCGUAGCUUCGAACUAUUUGAUGUACCAAGGCAAGGUUGGGCGUGAUGGAGUAUGGAUGGGAGUCGUGGUCUAAAUGGCCUAUGCUGCUUCCGGAUUCACCAAGGCACAAGAGGGGACUGCCCGACUUGGUGUAAAGGAGGGGGUGAAACCUAAAGUGCGGUGCGAUUAAAUAGGGAGGGUUAUGUGACGGUUUCUAUCACAGUUUCCUUUCCGUGGUAUCGUGGUGAUACACCGGCACACGUUCAAGUGUAGUGGAACUGUGUCUUGUAGGUAAAGUUGUACACCUCUGCAGAGUAAAACUAUUCAAAUAGUCGUGCCUACGGUUAUGGGGCGAACUUACAGAUUCACUGAGAUUAGUCAAAACUUUAAUAAAUUGAUGAACUUGGUAUUGGUUUGACCCUGCGCAAUAUGGUGUAACAUUGGGCAGUGGUUUGGGUCUGCCAUAACGUGAUGUAACAUUGGGCAGAGGGUUGACCCUGUCGCUACGUGGUAUAACGUUCGACAGCGGUUUGGGCCUAUUGCAACGUGGUGUAACGUUGAAUAGUGAAUAAUUAUUUUCAUGUACUUUACAUUACUUUUUAUUCACUUCUUACUCAGUCUAUUUACUGCUUUGCUAAAUAAAUGUUGCUUUGUGCAAUUUAACCUUAGCAUAUCCUUAACACCCUAGUGCAUUCAUUAUUCUUCCUCUCUUGGGUGUUACUUGCUGAGUACCGUGGUUUGUACUCAGCCUUACUUAAUUUUUCCCGCACCAGAGCAAGUGUCAGAGCCUGUGUUAGAAGAAGGUGGUCCGAAGUGUUAGAAGAAGGUGGUCCGAAGGUUGAAGUGAGGUUCAGUUCGCCGUCAAGAAUGCCUGUGGAGUGGAGCCAUCAUCGUCAGCUGAAACUGAAGAUGAGAUGGUUUUAUUCUUGUUUUUCUUUUCCGCUGCAUUUCAAUAGAUAAUUGUUUUUAUUUGUUUUUAAGUCGUGGAACUGUGUAUUAAUUUGUCAUAAUGUGUACUCGGUUCCUGGACCGAGAUUAAUGCAUGAUAUUGUUCGGAAAUUGGUGUAAAUUUCUGGGCGUGAUAUUUUAUAGAAAG